rnacentral:tRNA from 1 species
UCCCGCUUAACUCAGUGGCAGAGUGCGUCACUAGUAAGCAAGAAGGCUUCCAACACGCGAGUGUUGUCAUGACGAAGUCAGUCGUUCAAAUCGGCUAGUGGGAA